ensembl:lncRNA LINC02268 long intergenic non-protein coding RNA 2268
ACACACACACGCACGCACGCACACACACGCACGCACGCGCACACACACACGCGCACACACACGCACACGCCCGCGCACACACUCUCUCACACACACACAGAGAUUGGAGAGAGACAGGAGAGAGACAUGUUUUCAUCUAUCCUUUGUGGACUUCUGUUGUUUUUACUGCUGUGAAAUUUGACUUGCGAUAUCUGCUUGUAAAACAUCAUCAAAUCCAAAUUCAUUAUAUUCCACUUUUUCUAUUACAUGGUUUCUGCUUCACUGAUUCAUAUCUGUUUUACCUAUUCUGUAAGGGAGGAGAAGCUGCAAAGCAAUGAAGAGAAAAGCUGAAGUCAGUGAUUAGGAGUGUCUGUGUAAGUAAAAGCAACAGGCAAUUACUGAGUGUGGUGUGAGAGGCACGGAAAGAUUGGGAAUUCAGCAAGAAGAGGAAUUGAAGUCAAACCUCACCUACUUCCCAGAGUCUUCUGGAUUUUCUGUUAGAAGCUUCAGUAUCUGAGAUAUUCCUAUGCAUUCUACUGCUUUAAUCCCACCUAAGUAGAGAUGUCCACAACAGAGAGAAUGGAGCUGUCACAUCGUUUCAACUGCCCAGGUAGUUCCUACUGGAUGAAUGGGAUUGUCACCUUCACACCUGCUAGAGGCUUGGAGCAUGCAAGAGUUUUUUUAAAUGGCUUCACCUUUCUUAUGAAAAUGCAACCACUAGUACUCUUCCAAUAAAAGCUUUUCUCAAGUGAAAGGACUCAGGCAACAAAUAAACAGCUAAGAUUUUACUAGAGUAUGAAAGGGAGAGCACUGGAGUGCAGUGCGGGGAUGGAGAUGCAGCUGUGGUGGCUGGAAGUACAGGAGGGCAGCUGGAGGCACCUGGCCUCUGAAGCCUGUCUUCUUCAUCUGGGUGAGAUCUGCUGGAGUCAGGAAGGACUUCCUGCUGCAAGGAUAAAGAAUCCCACCCAUCCUAAGGCAUUACAUUUAGUCAUCAUAGCUCUUUCUUCACAGAAUUAGAAAAAACUACUUUAAAUUUCAUAUGGAACCAAAAAAGAGCCCAUAUAGCCAAGAAAAUCUUAAGCAAAAAGAACAAAGAUGGAGGCAUCAUGCUAACUGACUUCAAACUAUACUACAAGGCUACAGUAACCAAAACAGCAUGGUACUGGUGCCAAAACAGAUAUAUAGACCAAUGGAAUAGAACAGAGGCCUCAGAAAAACGUCACCCAUCUACAACCAUCUGAUCUUCAACAAAUCUGACAAAAACAAAUAAUGGGGAAGAAAUUCUGUAUUUAAUAAAUGAUCUUGGGAAAACUGGCUAGCCACAUGCAGAAAACUGAAGCUGGGCUCCUUCCUUACACCUUAUACAAAAAUUAACUCAAGAUGGAUUAAAGACUUAAACGUAAGACCUAAAACCAUAGAAACCCUAGAAGAAUACCUAGGCAAUACCAUUGAGGACACAGACAUGGGCAAAUGACUAAAGCAACAAAAGCCAAAAUUGACAAAUGGGAGCUAAUUAAACUAAAGAGCUUCUGAACAGCAAAAGAAACUAUCAUCAGAGUGAACAGGCAACCUACAGAAUGGGAGAAAAUUUUUGCAAUCUAUCCACCUGACAAAGGGCUAAUAUCCAGAAUCUACAAAUAACUUAAACAAAUUUACAAGAAAAAAAACAAACAACCCCAUCAAGAAGUGGGUGAAGGAUAUGAAAAGACACUUCUCAAAAGAAGACAUUUAUGUGGCCAACAAACAUGAAAAAAAGCUCAUCAUCACUGGGCAUUAGAGAAAUGCAAAUCAAAACCACAAUGAGAUACCAUCUCACGCCAGUUAGAAUGGCGAUCUUUAAAAAGUCAGGAAACAACAGAUGCUGGAGAGGAUGUGGAGAGAUAGGAAUGCUUUUACACUGUUGGUAGGAGUGUAAAUUAGUUCAGCAAUUGUGGAAGACUGUGUGGAGAUUCCUCAAGGAUCUAGAACCAGAAAUGCCAUUUGACCGAGCAAUCCCAUUACUGGCUAUAUACCCAAAGGAUUAUAAAUCAUUCUACUAUAGAGACACAUCCACCUGUAUGUUGAUUGCAGCACUGUUCACAAUAGCAAAGACUUGGAACCAAUGCAAAUGCCCAUCAAUGAUCGGCUGGAUAAAGAAAAUGUGGCACAUAUACACCGUGAAAUACUAUGUAGCCAUAAAAAAGGAUGAGUUCAUGUCCUUUGCAGGGAUAUGGAUGAAGCUGGAAACCAUCAUUCUCUGCAAACUAAUACAGGAACAGAAUGCCAAACACCACAUGUUCUCACUCAUAAGUGGGAGUUGAACAAUGAGAACACAUGAAUACCGGGAGGGAACAUCACACACCAGGGCCUGUCAGAGGGUCGGGGGCUAGGGAAGGGAUAGCAUUAGGAGAAAUACCUAAUGUAGAUUAUGGGUUGAUGGGUGCAGCAAACCACCAUGGCACAUGUAUAGCUAUGUAACAAACCUGCACGUUCUACACAUGUAUCCCAGA